rnacentral:lncRNA from 1 species
UAUAGAUAUAAUUAUUGUUAUUAAAAUUUUAAUCAAUGAGAAUUUAAUGUUAAUUUUUUCCUUCUUUUCUUUUCGAUGUCACUCUUGGCAAAGUUAAAAUAAAUCGUAGCUGAAAUAAUAUGUACUAAGAGAUGUCCUGUCCUCCCCCCUCCCUGUUUCCUUAUAUAUUAUCUUAAAUUUUAUGGAACGAAGCCCAAAAAUAAAUAAAUAAAUAAAAAGCGAGACAACAACAACAUUACGUUAUCGUUUAUUGCAAUAUUCGAUAAAUAUCUAUACAUCUAUUGACUAUCUAACUUAGUAGAUAAUAUUACUUUCCCAUUAUCUCCCUCUUUUUCACACAAAUGUAUUUACUUUUGUGACUUGGACUAUGUAGGAAGGAAGGAACCCCGCGGUCAUCAUCUUGUUUGUUCUUACAAUAAAUAAUUGACAAACAUCAAAAAAAGAAAUACUCAGAUCGACACACUUCUCUGUAAAUAGGUAUGUAUGCUCAUAUCUAUGUUUGUUUGAGUGGGAAUGUGCUGUUAUUAUAAAAUAUAAGUAUUAGUAGAAAUAUUAGGAUUAUUAUGGAAGGAGUAAGAACAACUAUGGUUUAUGUACAUGGGAGGUAGGAAUCUAGGAUAUUGAUGAUAAUUCUUUUACCCGUCUUUCAAGAUAUCAUCUUCACUAUAAACUCGAUUUUCAUCCUUUAGUUUUUCAAAGACAGGAGAGGUGAAGAAUUCUUCAUCAGACUUCCGGGUAGGAUAUGUUUUACUACGCCCAGCCGCUUUAUUUCGUUUGACCUUUUUGACUUCUGCCGGAGAGGAAGAAAGAGAAGAAUAUGAAGGAAGAGGGUUAUUCUGAGUUGAUUGUAUGUGACUCGUCGACGUUGUUUCUUUGUCCUUGUGCCUGCUCAGAAGCUUUUCCAACUCUCCCCAAGAUCGAUCCUUUAGACUUAGUUUAUUUUUUUUGCCGAUGAGGGGAGAGGAAGUGGCAGACAGUGUGUCAAGAGAGAGAUCUAAAUGGCUCUUGGCCAUUCGUAGAGCAUUAUCAUAGGCAUCAUCUGUGAUGGCAAUACUUCUUCUUCUUCUAGUAGUCGUUGAAGAAGGGAUUCCAAGGGUGGCGGAGCGAUGUGUGGGAUGAGGAAGAGGCUCCGUUCCAUGAUGCGAGGAGGAGUGUUUCUUGUGGAUGAACAUGGAAGUCAAGAGUCGAGGCCCUUUUUUUUCAAGACUACUCUGCUGAUGUAACAAACCACUGGUGGACGACCCUGAAGUAAAAGAUGUGAUGGAGGCUCUUCUGAGUAGACUCUGGUGAUGAUUUUGUGGGGGAUGAACUGAAGAAUCUCCACCACUACCACCACCAUGAUGAUGAAGGAAAAGAGAGGAGCUGGCUCUUGCUGCGGGGGGCAGGGGUUUCUUGAUGAGUCAAAUACCUGUGGAGUCACAACAGGUGACGACGACUUUGGAGAAGAGGACGUGUCUUCUCCAAAGAGAACAAAUUCUUGAGCAACUUCCAUAACGAGAGGUGGAGAAGAAAUACUUUCAGCUGCUUUGGACUUGAUUAAUUUUUGCAUGACCGGUGACUCCACACAGCAUCCAGUACAAAGUUAACAUCGUAGCACAUCAUCAAAGAAAGCUCAUUACACGACAGUGUCGUCGUCGUCACAUUCAAAGUCAAUCACACAAACUACACUAUUAUACACACAAUGAUGGUGAUCACUGAACAACAUCGAUGGAUAGACGACGUAUGAAGAAGUAAGUGGCUUUGAGAGGUGUAACAUUCAACAAAAACUAAGGAUUUAAUCCUACUACUAAGUAAUAGCAACCGUGAAUCAAAGUAGUGAAUAAAUCUAUUUUAUGCCUUG